AAUAUUUUAUUUUAAUUUUUAAUUAAAAAUUAAAAUAAAAUAUUUUUUAAAAUAUAGGUUAAAUUCCUAUAAAUCUUA
rnacentral:tRNA from 3 species